rnacentral:rRNA from 1 species
UGACAGGAUGCGAAUCUCGAAAGCCGGUCUCAGUUCGGAUUGCAGGCUGGAACUCGCCUGCAUGAAGUUGGAUUCGCUAGUAAUCGCGGAUCAGCAUGCCGCGGUGAAUACGUUCCCGGGCCUUGUACACACCGCCCGUCACACCAUGAGAGCCGGGAACACCCGAAGUCCGUAGUCUAACCAUUAAGGAGGACGCGGCCGAAGGUGGGUUUGGUAAUUGGGGUGAAGUCGUAACAAGGUAAC